CUGAGUAGUAUUAGUUAUGUUCUUGAAACUUAAAAAAUUUGGCGGUAUUUUAGUCUAUUCAGAGGAACCUGUUCUGUAAUCGAUAAUCCACGAUGGACCUUUCUUGUUAUUGUUAAUCAGUUUAUAUACCGUCGUUAUCAGAAUAUUUUAAAAGAAAAAUAAUUUUCAAUUUUUUUUAUGUGAAUGUAUAUCAGAUCAAGGUGUAGCUAAUGAACAAGUAGAAAUGGGUUACAAUAAAGUUAUUUAUAUGAAUUUUAUUAUGAAAAAAUAAAUGAAAGUGGAUUUGAAAGUAAAUUUAUAAAGAUUAAUAAGUUGAUUUUAGCUCUAAAAUAUGUACACAUCGCCCGUCGCUCUUAUUACUAAGAUAAGAUAAGUCGUAACAUAGUAGAAGUACCGGAAGGUGCUUCUAGAAUGACAAUUUAAAGCUUAAAAGAAAAGUAUUUCACUUACACUGAAAGGAUUAUUGUGCAAAUCAUUAUAAAUUGAACAGAAUUUAUUUAUUAAAAGAUAUUGGUUUUAUAUUAAAGUAUUAAAAAUAAUUAUAAUUUUAAAUGUUUAAGUAUUGUAUAAAGAAAUAAUAAGCUAAAUAAUAGAAAAAUAGUAUUGUAAAAGAAUAUUGAAAUAUACUGAAAAA
rnacentral:rRNA from 1 species